rnacentral:rRNA from 1 species
GACGAACGCUGGCGGCGUGCUUAACACAUGCAAGUCGAACGAUGACGACCGAGCUUGCUCGGUCUGAUUAGUGGCGAACGGGUGAGUAACACGUGAGCAACCUGCCCUUCACUCUGGGAUAACCUCGGGAAAUCGGGGCUAAUACCGGAUAUGAGCUCCUGUCGCAUGGCGGGUGUUGGAAAGUUUUUCGGUGAAGGAUGGGCUCGCAGCCUAUCAGUUUGUUGGUGAGGUAGUGGCUCACCAAGGCGAUGACGGGUAGCCGGCCUGAGAGGGCGACCGGCCACACUGGGACUGAGACACGGCCCAGACUCCUACGGGAGGCAGCAGUGGGGAAUAUUGCACAAUGGGCGAAAGCCUGAUGCAGCGACGCCGCGUGAGGGAUGACGGCCUUCGGGUUGUAAACCUCUUUCAGCAGGGAAGAAGCGAAAGUGACGGUACCUGCAGAAGAAGCGCCGGCUAACUACGUG